rnacentral:rRNA from 1 species
UACAGAGGGUGCGAGCGUUAAUCGGAAUUACUGGGCGUAAAGCGUGCGUAGACGGUUAUUUAAGUCGGGUGUGAAAGCCCCGGGCUCAACCUGGGAAUUGCAUUCGAGACUGAAUAGCUAGGGUACGGUAGAGGGAAGUGGAAUUUCCGGUGUAGCGGUGAAAUGCGUAGAUAUCGGAAGGAACAUCAGUGGCGAAGGCGGUCUGCUGGGCCGUUGCUGACGCUGAGGCGCGACAGCGUGGGGAGCAAACAGG